rnacentral:rRNA from 1 species
CACGUAGGGUGCGAGCGUUGUCCGGAAUUAUUGGGCGUAAAGGGCUCGUAGGCGGCUUGUUGCGUCUGCUGUGAAAGCUCGGGGCUUAACUCCGGGUGUGCAGUGGAUACGGGCAGGCUAGAGUCCGGUAGAGGAGACUGGAAUUCCUGGUGUAGCGGUGAAAUGCGCAGAUAUCAGGAGGAACACCGGUGGCGAAGGCGGGUCUCUGGGCCGGUACUGACGCUCAACUGCGAAGGUGUGGGUAUCAAACAGGAUUAGAUACCCCUGUAGU